GUGCUCGGUUUGGCAGCACAGCUACUAAAACUGGAACGAUGCAGAGGAGAUUAGCAUGGCUCCCGCGCAGGGAUGGAAUAAGGCUAUAUUGCAAAGUGAUUACUACAG
ensembl:snRNA U6 U6 spliceosomal RNA